CCUGGCGGCAGUAGCGCGGUGGUCCCACCUGACCCCAUGCCGAACUCAGAAGUGAAACGCCGUAGCGCCGAUGGUAGUGUGGGGUC
rnacentral:rRNA from 2 species